UUUAAUAAUUUUAUCUUACGAAAAAAUUCCUUUAAACCAUAAACUCUGGUAUAGGAUGGGAAUGUUUUUUACGAUAAGUGAUUACAAUCACGACUUAGCCAGACCGACUACUCUUACACAAAGGCUAUUAAAGCUAAAGAAGUAACGACUGCUCUUACACAAAGGCUAUUAAAGCUAAAGAAGUAACGACGAAGUUCGAGUCAAUUUGCGCACCAAGACCAUCUGCAGUUUCGUAAAGAUAGAUAAUUUCCCUAAACAAUAGGCAUAAUAAUAAUAAUAAAAAACAAGAUUAGGAAAGUGUAAUUUACCAUGCAACUUAAGCACUGCAAAAUAAUAACAAAAAAUCAGCAAUUGAACCACAUAAGUUCACUUGCGAACAUUUUACACGUACCGCCUUCCAAAAAUGGAAAACCAAGUGCCUCUCCCCUUUUAACAAUGCCCCCGCUUUACAACUGCCAUAAACACCACCUUAUCUAUUCCAUGCUUUGCUGUGCUUAUUCGAUUGCCCAUAGACCGCAACCACCAUCAUGACAUCUAA
rnacentral:lncRNA from 1 species